CCUACGGGGGGCAGCAGUGGGGAAUAUUGGACAAUGGGGGGAACCCUGAUCCAGCGACGCCGCGUGAGUGAAGAAGUAUUUCGGUAUGUAAAGCUCUAUCAGCAGGGAAGAAAAUGACGGUACCUGACUAAGAAGCCCCGGCUAACUACGUGCCAGCAGCCGCGGUAAUACGUAGGGGGCAAGCGUUAUCCGGAUUUACUGGGGGUAAAGGGAGCGUAUGCGGCAGCGCAAGUCUGGAGGGAAAUGCCGGGGCCGAAACCCGGAACUGCUCUGGAAACUGUGAAGCUGGAGUGGAGGAGAGGUAAGCGGAAUGCCUGGUGUAGCGGUGAAAUGCGUAGAUAUCAGGAGGAACACCGGCGGCGAAGGCGGCUUACUGGACUGUAACUGACGUUGAGGCUCGAAAGCGUGGGGAGCAAACAGGAUUAGAUACCCGUGUAGUC
rnacentral:rRNA from 1 species